rnacentral:rRNA from 1 species
UACGUAGGCAGCGAGCGUUGUUCGGAAUACUGGGCGUAAAGAGUGUGUAGGCGGUGCUCUAAGUUCGGUGUGAAAAUCUCCUGGCUCAACUGGGAGGGUGCGCCGGAAACUGGAGUGCUUGAGCACUGUAGAGGACAGAGUGGAAUUCCGGGUGUAGCGGUGGAAUGCGUAGAGAUCCGGAAGAACACCGGUGGCGAAGGCGGUCUGCUGGGCGAGUAGCUGACACUGAGGCGCGAACAGGCGUGGGGGAAGCAAAGCAGGAUUAAG